rnacentral:rRNA from 1 species
GACGUAGGGCGCGAGCGUUGUCCGGAUUUAUUGGGCGUAAAGAGCUCGUAGGCGGCUCAUUGCGUCAACCGUGAAAACCAGCAGCUCAACUGUUGGCUUGCGGUUGAUACGGGUGGGCUGGAGUUCGGUAGGGGAGACUGGAAUUCCUGGUGUAGCGGUGAAAUGCGCAGAUAUCAGGAGGAACACCGGUGGCGAAGGCGGGUCUCUGGACAGUUCCUGACGCUGAGGCACGAAGGCCAGGGGAGCAAACGGG